CCUUCAAUGGAGAAAGGGCAAGAGAGAACUUGAUGAGUUAGUCACCACUUCAUCUAGACUGCAACAUAGAAAAGCAGCGCCUGCACUUGGAAAAGGGGGAGGAAAUGGAUUGAUUUCAUAGUUCUAAGCUUAGUGAAAACCAAGGGGUGUGAAUCCAAGGGAUUCGAAUCAAGUGAGGCGGACUAUGCGUGGAUAGCUAAUUGCACAAACUUCUUGGAUAACAAGUUGUAGAGACGGAAAGCGUUCAGGUA